AGUGAACGCUGGCGGUAGGCCUAACACAUGCAAGUCGAACGGCAGCACAGUAAGAGCUUGCUCUUACGGGUGGCGAGUGGCGGACGGGUGAGGAAUACAUCGGAAUCUACUUUUUCGUGGGGGAUAACGUAGGGAAACUUACGCUAAUACCGCAUACGACCUACGGGUGAAAUCAGGGGAUCUUCGGACCUUGCGCGAUUGAAUGAGCCGAUUUCGGAUUAGCUAGUUGGCGGAGUAAAGGCCCACCAAGGCGACGAUCCGUAGAUGGUCUGAGAGGAUGAUCAGCCAAACUGGAACUGAGACACGGUCCAGACUCCUACGGGAGGCAGCAGUGGGGAAUAUUGGACAAUGGGCGCAAGCCUGAUCCAGCCAUACCGCGUGGGUGAAGAAGGCCUUCGGGUUGUAAAGCCCUUUUGUUGGGAAAGAAAAGCAGCAGGUUAAUACCCCGCUGCUCUGACGGUACCCAAAGAAUAAGCACCGGCUAACUUCGUG
rnacentral:rRNA from 1 species